GAUGAAGAACGUAGCGAAAUGCGAUAAGUAGUGUGAAUUGCAGACUUUAGUGAAUCAUCGAAUCUUUGAACGCACAUUGCGCCCCUUGGUAUUCCAUUGGGCAUGCCUGUUCGAGCGUCAUUUACACCCUCAAGCCUAGCUUGGUGUUGGGCGUUGUCCGCAAGGACUCGCCUCAAAUUCAUUGGCAGCGGCAUCGUCAGCUUCUCGCGCAGCACAUUGCGCUUCAGAAGGCUUCUGGCGGGCUCGCGUCCACUAAGAUACCACCCAGUUUGACCUCGGAUCAGGUAGGGAUACCCGCUGAACUUAAGCAUAUCAAUAAGCGGAGGA
rnacentral:misc_RNA from 1 species